CUCACAUUUACGCUGCUCAUGCAUGCACAUAAGAGGCACUUUCCAGCCAGAAAUCACAUACAGAACUUUGGAAGGCACAAUAGAGCAGAGCUAAAACUGACUACUUUCCAGGAGAGGAAUGAGAUAGUGUCCUCCCCAGACCUGAUGGGGCAAUCUUAUCCUCAUUGUGAGGCCAUCUCCCACAGCAGGUGUUUAUCAUACUGAAUUGAUGGAAUGUCAUGGUCAAGGCUGGCUCUUUGAUAUGUGAAAGUGAAGAAGAACCCAACCAAAAUACCACAAACCCAAAGGAAAUAUAUUGUGUUUUGCUGUCAACAGCCUGACAGUUAGUAGCUAAGGCCCCAUUUCCCCUGUGGGCUAUCGAAGAGUAACUUGAUCAAGGCAUAUGAGAUAAAUGAA